GCUAUCACUGGCGGAAUCCUCAUAAAAAGGAAAAUCCCCUGAAAAGCUGACUUGAGACUUGCAGCCUAGAGGUAUUCCAGACUCUGCACAGUGACUUGAGAUGGAAGGAAAACCCAACCAAGGCAGAGGCCUGCAGAAUGGACGACGGAACCAGCUAAGGAGUGCACUGGCAGAAGACAGCAGUUCCCAGAGAUAUGCAUGCUGCAUCGUCCAACGGCAGGAAACAGACGCAGCCCAAUCUGGCCCUCGCUGCGGCGCGAAAUGGACUCUGGCUGCGGAGCCACCAGCCAGGCAGCGGCCAACACAAACAAGCUUCACAUUCACGGUCAUUUCAGAGCUCUGGUAAGGGUGAGAGCAGCUUGGCUCUGUGAAAGGGCUUUGUAAUCAGUACUUCUGGUUGAGAAAUAUUACAUGUUCUGUUAAGCUCUCUACCCAAAUCUCUAACUCUGAACAAG
rnacentral:lncRNA from 1 species